rnacentral:lncRNA from 1 species
UUCGCGUUGGCGGCUGUGUUUGCAACAGCACUAGAUUCUGCUCAAAUUCUAUCUCAUAUUGAACAGUUUUGUUUUUUUUGUAAUCAUCUGAAAUCGCACCAAAAUCUAGUUUUUGAUGACCUACGAAGAAAGUCAGCAUGCAAACCGGUCGCUCUGCUUGAACGCAUUUGAAGAUGGAGGAUAUGGAGGUAGCUCCAGUGUCCAGUGAGGCCAGUGUGAUUGUAGUCUCUGAGUCUGAAAGCAACACGGAGGAAGAGGAUGUUCCCAUGCAGGAUCAAGGCCCAUCUGAGCGACCCAGACUUUCAGCCCAUCGGGCGAUCAGGAGGAGACAUAUAAUUGGGACACAUUCGCAGCUCUCCACACGUGAAGAGAGGAUGCGCAGACUCCGGGAGCUCAUCGCAGAGAAUCUGGUAGAGCGGCUGAGUGGCUCCCAGGACACGCAGCGCUCCGUUCCUCACACAGAUCCACCACCGCUGGACCCUGAACCCAGCUCCAGCCGCACCGCUGCUGCGGAUGUGCAGACGUCUGAUGAAUCCAGCGCUGCAGGGUCCAGUGUUUCUACAGAGGCUGAAGGGACGAGAGCAGCCGCUCAUCCGUACGAGUCACAACAAGAGACUGAG